rnacentral:rRNA from 1 species
GACGAACGCUGGCGGCGUGCUUAACACAUGCAAGUCGAACGGAAAGGCCCCCUUGUGGGGUACUCGAGUGGCGAACGGGUGAGUAACACGUGAGUAACCUACCCUUGACUUUGGGAUAACUUCAGGAAACUGGGGCUAAUACCGGAUAGGAGCUCCUGCUGCAUGGUGGGGGUUGGAAAGUUUCGGCGGUUGGGGAUGGACUCGCGGCUUAUCAGCUUGUUGGUGGGGUAGUGGCUCACCAAGGCUUUGACGGGUAGCCGGCCUGAGAGGGUGACCGGCCACAUUGGGACUGAGAUACGGCCCAGACCCCUACGGGAGGCAGCAGUGGGGAAUAUUGCACAAUGGGCGGAAGCCUGAUGCAGCAACGCCGCGUGCGGGAUGACGGCCUUCGGGUUGUAAACCGCUUUCGCCUGUGACGAAGCGUGAGUGACGGUAAUGGGUAAAGAAGCACCGGCUAACUACGUG